rnacentral:rRNA from 1 species
AAAAGCUGAGGAAAAGAAACUAACAAGGAUUCCCCUAGUAAUGGCGAAUGAAGAGGGAAAAGCCCAAAUUUGUAAUCUGGCUCUUUCAGAGUCCGAGUUGUAAUUUUAAGAACUGUUUUCAGUGCUGGACCAUGUACAAGUCUGUUGAAAAGCAGCAUCAUAGAAGGUGAUAAUCCUGUUCAUGAUAUGGACUACCAGUGCAAUAUGAUACAGUCUCUAAGAGUCGAGUUGUUUGGGAAUGCAGCUCAAAGUGGGUGGUAAAUUCCAUCUAAGGCUAAAUAUUGAUGAGAGACCGAUAGCAAACAAGUACCGUGAGGGAAAGAUGAAAAGAACUUUGGAAAGAGAGUUAACAGUACGUGAAAUUGUUAAAAGGGAAACAAUUGAAGUUAGACUUGUUAUUAUUAGUUCAACCUUUUCUAAGGGGGUAUUCUAAUGAUUAACAGACCAACAUCAAUUUUUGGGUGUUGGAGAAGGGUUUAAGGAAAUGUAGCAGUUUUUGACUGUGUUAUAGUCCUGAGCUUUGAUACAAUGCUUAAGAUUGAGGAAUGCAGUAAGCCCUUUCUUUUUUUGGGUGGAACAAAUUAUUGUUCUUCUUACUGAGGAUGUUGGUGCAAUAGCUUUAAAUGACCCGUCUUGACC